GACGAACGCUGGCGGCGUGCCUAACACAUGCAAGUCGAACGAACGGACGAGAAUUUUGCUUUUCUGUUGUUUGCGGCGGACGGGAGAGUAACAUGUGGAUAACCUACCUAUAAGACUGGGAUAAUCUCGGGAAACCGGCGCUUAUACCGGAUAAUAUUUUGAACCGCAUGGUUCAAUAGUGAAAGACGGUCUUGCUGUCUCUAAUAGAUGGAUACGCGCUGCAUUAGCUAGUUGGUAAGGUAACGGCAUAUCAAGGCUACGAGGCAUAGCCGACCUGAGAGGGUGAUAGGCCACACGGGAGGGGAGACGGGGUCCAGACGCCUGCGAGAGGCAGCAGUAGGGAAUCGUACGCAAUGGGCGAGAGCCUGACGGAGCGACGGCGCGUGAGUGAUGAAGGUGUUCGGAGCGUAAAACUCUGUUAUUAGGGGAAAACAUAUGUGUAAUGAACUGUGCACAUCUUGACGGUACCUGGUCAAGAAGCCACGGCUAACUACGUG
rnacentral:rRNA from 1 species